rnacentral:lncRNA from 1 species
AUGGCCUUGUCCCCCACCAGGGCAUGUGUCAUCACCACCUGCAUCCUCACCACCUUCCUUUUCAGCACCGGGAGAGUUACAAGUGCACAGAAUGCUCUCCACUGCAGUGCACUUCCGGCUUGCAGGCAACAUGUGAAGCCACUCAAGGCUGCUUCCACUACAAGCAAGAAUUUAAUGAAUCAGGUAGGUCCUAGCCCUGCCCACGUCGGGACACGCUCAGAGCAGCCGGAGCGGGUGCUCAGAGGCAGGGGUGCCUUGCUCAGAAGCAGGAUGCAGGGGCUCUGCCCUUGACCUCGUCUGUG